rnacentral:lncRNA from 1 species
GAUGAUGAAUAGGUUCAUCAAGAAGAGGCGUGUGAUCAAGGGGGAGCACAAGAAGACCAAGUUGUGGAGAAAGAAGUACCACUGGUCCCUUCAACUCAAGUCCGAGCGAUAAUUCAAAGGAAUCACCCCAUCGAUCAGAUUCUGGGUGACAUAAGCAAGGGAGUAACUACUUGUCGGGGACCAUAAUUAGGGGUACCCCCAAGACUCCUAAAUCUCAGCUGGUAACCCCCAUCAGCACAAAGCUGCAAAGGCCUGAUGGGCGCGAUUCAGGUCAAGGCUCCAUUCACUCAAGGGACACGAUCCCGCCUCACCCGAGCCCAGCCUCGGGCAAAGGCAGCCGACCCAGGAGGAUUCACGUCUCGCCCGAGGGUCCCCUCAAGCAACGGGCGCACCUUCGGCUCGCCCGAGGCCCAGUCUUCGUGGAGAAGCUACCUUGGCCAGAUCGCCACGCCAACCGACCGUAUCGCAGGAGCAUUUAAUGCAAGGAUCGACUGACACCUUAUUCUGACGCGCGCUCCUCAGUCGACAGAGCCGAAGUGACCGCAGUCACUUCGCCGCUCCACUGACCGACCUGACGGGAAAACAGCGCCGCCUGCCCCGCUCCGACUGCUGUGCCACUCGACAGAGUGAGGCUGACAGCAUCUAAGUCCAGCCUCGGGCACCAUAGGAAGCUCUGCCUCGCCCGACCCUAGGGCUCGGGCUCAACCUCGACGCCGGACGACGGACUUCGCCUCGCCCGACCCCAGGGCUCGGACUCAGCCUCGACCUCGGAAGACGGACUCCGCCUCGCCCGACCCCAGGGCUCGGACUCAGCCUCGACCUCGGAAGACGAACUCCGCCUCGCCCGACCCCAGGGCUCGGACUCAGCCUCGACCUCGGAAGACGAACUCCGCCUCGCCUGACCCCAGGGCUCGGACUCAGCCUCGACCUUGGACGACGGUCUCCGCCUCGCCCGACCCUCAGGCCAAGACUCGACCUCGACCUCGGAGGAGCCUCCGCCUCGCCCGACCUCGGGCCCGGACCGAUCACGUCACAGGGGGGGCCAUCAUUACCCUACCCCUAGCUAGCUCAGGCUAAGGGGAACAAGACCAGCGUCCCAUCUGGCUCGCCCCGAUAAACAAGUAAUGAUGGCACCCCGCAUGCUCCAUGACGACGGCGGCUCUCAGCCCCUUACGGAAGCAAGGAGACGUCAGCAAGGAUCCGACAGCCCCGACAGCUGUACUUCCACAGGGCUCAAGCGCUCCUCCGACGGCCACGACAUCACAUGAACAGGGCGCCAAAACCUCUCCGACUGCCACGACGGCAUGUACUUAGGGCUCUGGCUCCUCUCUGCUAGACACGUUAGCACAUUGCUACACCCCCCAUUGUACACCGGGGCCCUCUCCUUAUGUCUAUAAAAGGAAGGUCCAGGGCUCUCGUACGGGAGGUUGGCCGCAUGGGAGAACGGGCUGGCGGACAGCCUCUCUCUCUCUCUCUCCCUCGCGGACGCUUGUAACCCCCUACUGCAAGAGCACCCGACCUGGGCGCAGGACAACACGGAGGCCGCAGGUUUCCCCUUUGCUGUCUCUCCCCCCUUUUGUGUUCCGUCUCGCGCGGACCCAUCUGGGCUGGGACACGCGGCGACAAUUUACUCGUCGGUCCAAGGACCCGCCGGGGUUGAAACGCCGACAGUUGGCGCGCCAGGUAGGGGCCUGCUGCGUGUUGACGAACAGCUUCCAGUCAAGCUCCAGAUGGGCAGUCUCCAGCAACCACUUCAACCCAGGACGGUGCUCCGUUUCGGGAGUCUGGAGUUCAUGUCCCUCGACGGCAGCUACGACAUGAUACUCCUUCCUCCGCCGCGCGACAACAACAAUGGCGACCGUCAGCCCACCCGCCGCGGCGGAAUCGAUGACGUCUUCCCCACGUGGCGGAAGAGCAACAUCCGGGUCUGUCCCGUCACCUUCCCCACCGACGGAGGAGGAGGCGGGGCAUGCAUGGCCAAGCAGGAGGCGGCACCUCGUCGGCUGUCGAGCGAGUCGACAGCGCCGGCGCCCCAACGGGGGACACGUCGGGUGUUGACCUCGCGUCUGAGACGAAGACGAGCGCCGUUUCCCCGCAACACGCCAACUCCAAGCAGACAAAUGACGCCAGCACGCUCGUGAAGGACUUGCUGGGCGUCAGCCUCGUACCUGAGACAACGGUGCAGUCCGUCCCUGACGCGGCUUCGUCACCGCCCGUCAAUCGAGAGGUACCGCCCGUUUCCCAUCCCAUGCCUUUUGAAUUCAGCUGCGACCCACCAAGCGACCCCGCUUCGGUGGACGCUUUCAUAAAGGCAUGUCCAAACCCUCCGGGGUAUCAUAUGCGGUCACCCUGGGAUCGACUGACGGCCGUCUCGACCUACUGGCCUCUGGGUUCCGAGGAAGAUGACGAGCCCGACUCUGGUUGGGAUUUCUCCGGGCUCGAUAACCCUAGUGCCAUGCGGGACUUUAUGACCGCAUGUGACUACUGCCUCUCCGAUUGCUCCGAUAGUAGCCACAGCCUCGGUGACGAGGACUGUGGCCCAAGUCGCGAAUGCUUUCACGUCGAUCUAGGGGGUCUCAACGAAGGCAACCAUCUUGGUAUGCCGGAGGACGGUGAUCCCCCUAGGCCUGCACCUCGCGUUGACAUCCUUCGGGAGCUAGCUGUGGUCCCAGUCCCUGCGGGGGGUCAGGACGCACAGCUCGAGCAAAUCCGCGAGGUACAGGCCAGGCUCGACGAGGAAGCAGGACAACUUGUGCAGCUUCGGCAAAAUAUCUUGCAGGAGUGGGCAGGCCGAGCACCGGCCGGAGAAGCGCGUCACCUGGCCCAGGACGUCCAGCACCGCAUCGCCAACGAUGCCAGGGCGAGGCUACCCCCGGCUUCCAGUGGGGUCGGCCAGAACCUGGCCGCAGCAGCGAUACUACUCCGAGCGAUGCCGGAACUAUCCACCACCGAGGGGCGGCGCAUCCAGGGAGAGCUCAAGAAUUUCCUGGAAGAUGUCGCGGUCUGACGGGCCGAGAGCUCUGCCUCCCGAAGGCAGGGGUACCCCCCGGAGCAUCGCGUCGUGACUUCCCGAUUCAUGCGGGAAGCCUCGGUCCACACCGGGCAAACGCGGAACUCAGCGCCUGUGGCCCCGGGUUGCCUCGGCAACGAGUACCACCGCCGCGAUCGUCGAGCCCACCUCGACGAGAAGGUGCGCCGAGGCUACCACCCCAGGCGUGGGGGAUGCUACGACAGCGGGGAGGAUCGGAGCCCCUCGCCCAAACCACCCAGUCCACGAGCUUUCAGCCGGGUCAUACAACGAGCGCCGUUCCCAACCCGGUUCCGAACCCCGACUACCAUCACCAAGUACUCGAGGGAGUCAAAACCGGAACUGUGGCUCGCAGACUACCGGCUGGCCUGUCAGCUGGGUGGGACGGGCGAUGACAACCUCAUCAUCCGCAACCUUCCCCUGUUCCUCUCCAACGCCGCCCGAGCCUGACUGGAGCAUCUGCCUCCUCCGCAGACCUCCAACUGGGAUGACCUGGUCAAAGCCUUCGCCGGCAACUUCCAGGGCACAUACGUGUGCCCUGGGAACUCCUAGGAUCUCCGAAGCUGCCGCCAGCAGCCGGGAGAGUCCCUGCAGGACUACAUCUGGCGAUUUUCGAAGCAGCGUACCGAGCUGCCCAACAUCACCGACUCGGAUGUCAUCGGCGCGUUCCUCGCCGGCACCACAUGCCGCGACCUGGUGAGCACGCUGGGUUGCAAGACUCCCACCAGGGCGAGCGAGCUGAUGGACAUCGCCACCAAGUUCGCCUCUGGUCAGGAGGCGGUCGAGGCGAUCUUCCGAAAGGACAAGCAGCCUCAGGGGCUCCAGCCGGAAGACGUCCUCGAGGCGUCCGCUCAGCACGGCGUGAGGAAGAAGGGCAAGAAGAAGUCGCAAGCGAAACACGACGCCACCGACGCGGACCUUGUCGCCGCUGCCGAGCAUAGGAACCCUCGGAAGCCUCCCGGAGGCGCCAACCUGUUCGACAAGAUGCUCAAGGAGUCGUGCCCCUAUCAUCAGGGUCCCGUCAAGCACACCCUUGAGGAGUGCGUCAUGCUUCGGCGCUACUUCCACAAGGCCGGGCCGCCGGCGGAAGGUGGCCGAGCCCACAACAGCGACAAGAAGGAGGAUCACAAGGCAGAGGAGUUCCCCGAGGUCCAUGACUGCUUCAUGAUCUACGGUGGGCAAGUGGCGAACGCCUCGACUCAGCACCGCAAGAAGAGCGCCGGGAGGUCUGCUCGGUAAAGGUGGCGGCACCAGUCUACCUAGACUGGUCCGACAAGCCCAUCACCUUCGACUAGGGCGACCACCCCGACCGUGUGCCGAGCCCAGGAAAGUACCCGCUCGUUGUCGUUCCCGUCAUCGGCAACGUCAGGCUCACCAAGGUCCUCAUGGAUGGAGGCAGCAGCCUCAACAUCACCUACGCCGAGACCCUCGGGCUCCUGCAGAUCGAUCUAUCCUCGAUCCGGGCCGGCGCGGCACCUUUUCAUGGGAUCAUCCCCGGGAAACGUGUCCAACCCCUUGGGCAACUCGAUCUGCCCAUCUAAUUCGGGACUCCCUCCAAUUUUCGAAAGGAAACCCUCACGUUCGAGGUGGUCGGGUUCCGAGGAACCUACCACGCAGUGCUGGGGAGGCCAUGCUACGCCAAGUUCAUGGCCGUCCCCAACUACACCUACCUCAAGCUCAAGAUGUCGGGCCCCAACGGGGUCAUCACCGUCGGCUCCACGUACUGACGUACCGACACGCGUACAAAUGCGACGUGGAGUGCCUGGAGUACGCCGAGGCCCUCGCCGAAUCCGAGGCCCUCAUCGCCGACCUGGAGAGCCUCUCCAAGGAGGCGCCAGAUGCGAAGCGCCACGCCGGCAACUUCGAGCCAGCUGAGACGGUUAAGUCUGUCCCUCUCGACCCCAGCAACGACGCCUCCAAGCAGAUCCGGAUCGGCUCCGAGCUCGACCCCAAAUAGGAAGCAGUGCUCGUCAACUUUCUCCGCGCAAAUGCCGAAGUUUUUGCGUUGAGUCCCUCGGACAUGCCUGGCAUACCGAGGGAUGUCGCCGAGCACUCGCUGGAUAUCCGAGCUCGAGCCCGACCCGUGAAGCAGCCUCUGCGCCGAUUCGAUGAAGAAAAGCACAGAGCCAUAGGCGAGGAGAUCCACAAGCUGAUGGCUGCAGGGUUCAUCAAAGAGGUAUUCCAUCCCGAAUGGCUUGCCAACCCUGUGCUUGUGAGAAAGAAAGGAGGGAAAUGGCGGAUGUGUGUAGACUACACUGGUCUAAACAAAGCAUGUCCGAAGGUUCCCUACCCUCUGCCUCGCAUCGAUCAAAUCGUGGAUUCUACUGCUGGGUGCGAAACCCUGUCUUUCCUCGAUGCCUACUCAGGGUAUCACCAAAUCAGGAUAAAAGAGUCCGACCAGCUCGCGACUUCUUUCAUCACACCCUUUGGCAUGUACUGCUAUGUUACUAUGUCAUUCGGUCUGAGGAAUGCGGGUGCGACAUACCAAAGGUGCAUGAACCAUGUGUUUGGAGAACACAUUGGUCGAACGGUCGAGGCUUACGUCGAUGACAUCGUAGUCAAGACGAGGAAAGCCUCCGACCUCCUCUCCGACCUUGAAACAACAUUCCGGUGUCUCAAGGCGAAAGGCGUAAAACUCAAUCCCGAGAAGUGUGUCUUCGGAGUACCCAGAGGCAUGCUCCUGAGGUUCAUCGUCUCCGAGCGGGGCGUCGAGGCCAACCCGGAAAAAAUUGUGGCCAUCACCAACAUGGGGCCCAUCAAGGACUUGAAAGGAGUACAGAGGGUCAUGGGAGCCUAGCGGCCCUGAGCCGUUUCAUCUCGCGCCUCGGCGAAAGAGGCCUACCUCUGUACCGCCUCUUAAGGAAGACCGAGCGCUUCACUUGGACCCCCAAGGCCGAGGAAGCCCUCGGGAGCCUAAAGGCGCUCCUCACAAGCGCGCCCAUCCUGGUGCCCCCCGCUGCCGGAGAAGCCCUCUUGAUCUACGUCGCCGCUACCACUCAAGUGGUCAGCGUCGCGAUCGUGGUCGAGAGACGAGAAGAGGGGCAUGCAUUGCCCGUCCAGAGGCCGGUCUACUUCAUCAGUGAAGUACUGUCCGAGACCAAAAUCCGCUACCCGCAAAUCCAGAAGCUACUGUACGCGGUAAUUUUGACGCGGUGAAAGUUGCGACACUACUUCGAGUCUCAUUCGGUGACUGUGGUGUCAUCCUUCCCCCGGGGGAGAUCAUCUAGUGCCGAGAGGCCUCGGGUAGGAUUGCAAAGUGGGCGGUGGAGAUCAUGGGCGAGACUAUCUUGUUCGCCCCUCGGAAGGCCAUCAAGUCUCAAGUCUUGGCGGACUUUGUGGCUGAAUGGGUCGACACCCAGCUUCCAGCAGCUCCGAUCCAACCGGAACUCUGGACCAUGUUUUUCGACGGGUCGUUGAUGAAAAGAGGAGCGGGCGCGGACCUGCUCUUCAUCUCACCCCUCGGGAAGCACCUCCGCUAUGUGCUGCGCCUCCAUUUCCCGGCAUCCAACAAUGUGGCCGAGUACGAGGCUCUAGUUAACGGGUUGCGCGUCGCCAUCGAGCUAGGGGUCCGACGCCUCGACGCUCGUGGCGACUCGCAGCUUGUCAUCGACCAAGUCGUGAAGAACUCCCACUGCCGCGACCCGAAGAUGGAAGCCUACUGCGAUGAGGUUCGGCGCCUGGAGGACAAGUUCUUCGGGCUCGAGCUCGACCACAUCGCCCGACGAUACAACGAGACUGCGGAGGAGUUGGCUAAGAUAGCCUCGGGGCAGACAACGGUUCCCCCGGACGUCUUCUCCCGAGACCUACAUCAACCCUCAGUCAAGACCGACGACACGCCCGAGCCCGAGAAGGUCUCGGCCCUGCCCGAGGUGCCCUCGGCUCAGCCCGAGGCACCCUCGGCCCCCGAGGGUGAGGCACUGCGCGUCGAGGAAGAGCGGAAUGGGGUCACGCCUAAUCGAAACUGGCAGACCCCGUACCUGCAAUAUCUCCACCGAGGAGAGCUACCCCUCGACAGAGCCGAAGCUCGGCGACUGGCGCGCGCGCCAAGUCGUUCGUCUUGCUGGGUGACGGGAAGGAGCUCUACCACCGCAGCCCCUCAGGUAUCCUCCAGCGAUGCAUAUCCAUCGCCGAAGGUCAGGAAUUAUUACAAGAAAUACACUCAGGGGCUUGCGGUCACCACGCAGCCCCUCGAGCCCUUGUUGGAAAUGCCUUCCGACAGGGUUUCUACUGGCCAACCGCGGUGGCCGAUGCCACUAGGAUUGUACGCACCUGCCAAGGGUGUCAAUUCUACGCAAAGCAGACCCACCUGCCCGCUCAGGCUCUGCAAACAAUACCCAUCACCUGGCCGGUUGCUGUGUGGGGUCUGGACCUCGUCGGUCCCUUGCAGAAGGCACCCGGGGGCUACACGCACCUGCUGGUCGCUAUCGACAAAUUCUCCAAGUGGAUCGAGGUCCGACCCCUAAACAGCAUCAGGUCCGAACAUGCGGUGGUGUUCUUCACCAACAUCAUCCAUCGCUUUGGGGUCAUGAACUCCAUCAUCACCGACAACGGCACCCAGUUCACCGGCAGAAAGUUCCUGGACUUCUGCGAGGAUCACCACAUCCGGGUGGAUUGGGCCGCCGUAGCUCACCCCAUGACAAAUGGGCAAGUAGAGCGUGCCAACGGCAUGAUUCUGCAAGGACUCAAGCCAUGGAUCUACAACGACCUCAACAAGUUCGGCAGGCGAUGGAUGAAGGAACUCCCCUCGGUGGUCUGGAGUCUGAGGACAACGCCGAGCCGAGCCACAGGCUUCACGCUGUUUUUUCUAGUCUAUGGGGCCGAGGCCAUCUUGCCCACAGACUUAGAAUACGGUUCCACGAGGACGAGGGAGUACAACGACCGAAGCAACUGGACCAACCGAGAAGACUCACUAGACUAGCUGGAAGAGGCUCGGGACAUGGCCUUACUACACUCGGCGCGGUAUCAGCAGUCCCUGCGAUGCUACCACGCCCGAGGGGUUCGGUCCCGAGACCUCCAGGUGGGCGACUUGGUGCUUCGGCUACGACAAGAUGCCCGAGGGCGCCACAAGCUCACGCCUCCCUGGGAAGCGCCAUUCAUCAUCGCCAAGAUUUUGAAGCCCGGAACAUACAAGCUGGCCAACAGUCAAGGCGAGGUCUACAGCAACGCUUGGAACAUCCGACAGCUACGUCGCUUCUACCCUUAAGAUGUUUUCAAGUCGUUCAUACACCUCGUUUACAUACGCCAACAAAGUCUAACCAUCAAGGAAGGGUCAGCCUUGCCUCGGCAAAGCCCGACCCUCCCUCGGGGGCUAGAAGGGGCGAACCCCCUCUGCGUCAAAAUUUUCCUCGGAAAAAAUCUUUCUGCCAGAACGUCUUUCGUGCUCUUCGACUGCUUCGAAAGUGGGAUCCUGAAAACGAUGGAGUACACAUAAGCAGCCAAGGCCGACCGAGCCGAGGGACUCCUACGCCUCCGGGAUACGGAUACCUCACUCAUCACCUUCUGCGAUAAGUAACUCACGCUCGGAUAAGCGAUUCCGCUGACCGAACAAGUCUUAAUGCUCGAAAAAUUUUCUGCCGAAACGAUUUUCGUGCCUUCUCGACUAUAUCAAUAACAGAAUCCUACGGACGAGUAAGAGUACACGUAAGCGGCAAGGCCGACCGAGCCGAGGGACUCCUACGCCUCUGGGAUACGGAUACCUCACUCAUCACCUUCCAUGAAAAGUAACUCUCGCUCGGACAAACAAUUCUGUUACCGACAAAUAAGUCCAGAUACUCGAAACAAGGGGAAAAGAAAUGCAGCUUUAUAACACGACGACGAUAUGUUUGGGCCUCGGCGGCCGCCAAAAAACAUACGCACACUACAGAUAAACUGUUCCUGCAGGAUCAGACAUCAGUGGGGGAGCAGCAGCACCCUCGGCGUCGACUCCACCAUCGGCGGAAUCUGACCCGGCCUCGGACGGCAACACGGUCGGAGGAUCUCCACCUCGAAGGAACCUGUCGGCACCACGUUGGGCCAUCACCGCUAGGGUCUCCUCCGGGAACCCGGCCCAAGCAGACGGCUCAACCGGCCGCUCCGUAGCCUCAGCCAGCUGUCCCCCGAGGACGUCAGCCCGGCUCAUGGCCUCGGCAACCCAACUCCGGCGUCGGUCCUGCCAGUGGACGGCCCGGCUAGGCUUUGGCCGACGAAGCUUCUUUUCGAGCCAACUCUGCCUCUGUCCGUGCUGGCACCGCUGCCUCCGGCUCCGGCUCAUCGCAGAGCGGCUGAGGGUUCCUUUAAUUAAGCAAGAGAAGCCUCGAGCGGCAAGGCCGACCGAGCCGAGGGACUCCUACGCCUCCGGGAUACGGAUACCUCACUCGUCACCUUCGCACGAGGCAACUCACACUUGGUUAAGCGGUUCAGUUAGCCGACAGGUGAGUCCUAGUGCUCGAAAUGAGGAAGAAACAUGGCUUCACGCCAAAAUACAUAAAUGUUCAGGCCCCGACAGCCAUGAUGAACAAACACCGGCACUCAAGGUGCCAUUACAAACGGAACUCCGGUUCCGCCCCCGCAGGUACGAACAACCCCCCACAUUGGAGGGCCUGCGGGGCGACAAAACCCCAGGUGGCUCGCCGACGCCCGCUCCGGCAGCAGCGACAACGACCUCCGCUCCGGGUGGCCAAAUAGCAGCAGCGAUGGCCUCAGGACGGACGCUGCUGCAACGAGCCCCUCGCCCAUGUCCCCACUCGAGGCGCGAGGACAAGCUAUCAAAGCCAAAGAGCCGGAGGCCCAGAGCGCGGAUGGUGGCGGUGAUCCCGUCGGCGACGAGGACUUCUUCAGCCGCCACCACCUCAGCGCCGACGACGGAAGCCAUCUGCCCACCGGCAGAUCCCCACUCGGAUCCUCCCAGACGGGCGAGCACCGACCUCCGCGCAGAGGUGUCGUACCGAAGCAAAGGCAGGACAGCCCAAGAACACGAACGCCGCCCUAGCAGCGUGCGACGUCUUGGGCGGUCCUCCGGUGCGCGCGGCGAGACGACCGCUCAUACGGCGGGAGGGGGCACCGGGAGCCGAGCCAGAGCCAGCUGAGCCAGCGAGCCCAACGCGCUGAAGCUGACGACGCUUGCGACCGACCAGCCCCUCGUUGUCGGAGUCCGCCCCUUUCGCUAGGCCGGUGAGCGCCCUCUCCCCUGAAUGCUGAAGGAGAGGGUGACCCGCGAACCCGUGCGGGAGGUAGAGCUCCGGCUCAGCCCGCCCUCCGCCCCAGCAAGGAUGAUGAACAUCCUUGAAGCUGAGGGAGGGGCAGAGGCCACAGCCCAGCUCGCUUCUCCCCACCAUCGAACUGGUGGUCACCGUCUUGGGUGACCACCGGCGAGGGGAUGCAGCCGGGCUGCCUCAUGAAAAUCCUUGAAGCCGAGCGAUGGCUGAAAGGUAUCAACUUCCGCGAAGUUGCGUUCCUCCAACGACAAUAAGACAGAAGAACCACGGGCGCACCCCAUCCGGGGGCUCGGAAGGUGGAAGGACGCGAUGCAUGAAGGGAGUGCGAAGACAUGGUUGCCAUCCAAGGGGGUCACCCUCCUUUUAAAGGCGACUCUCCCCACUUGCGUCCUCAGCCGUCACGGACUGAGUCUUCACCAACACGCUCCAAGGUCUUCCACCUACGACAUGGGGGCUGGGUCCCACGUGUCAUGCAAGCUGGCCCAGGAUAGAAGAGGCCAAACCACCGCGCGUGGUGCGCGUAACUACCCGGCGGUUACAAGCACUCCUCCACUUUCGCCCAAACCAGCGGGUGAAAGGGCGGACCGCCAUGCAGGCGGCAUGCAACCGCACCAAGGGGGCACACCCUUUCGACUUCGACGCGUCCAGCAUGGAGGCCCAAGCCCACACGUCAUGUAACCGGCGCGCCGGUUACUACGUGCGAGAAGCUGCACCGCCACUUGCGCCAUUACUGUGCCUUCUCGACUGCGGAACCAGUGCCGCGACUCGAAGCGACCCUGCGCAUGGCCCAACAGUGCCAACCGAGCACAUCGAUCACGGGUCAGUCAGCCGCGGGAGAAGGCGCGACAGUCAAUAUGGCCAAAAGUGGGCCGGCAGUAAUGGCGGCGGCAGGCGGGCGGAAGCAGCGGUCAAGCCGUCUACAGGCUCACGUCCCCUCCUGGGACAGCGAGAGAGCCCUCUCCCACGGCGUGAAGACGACGCGCCCAUGUUCCGUUCCUCGAAUGGCUCGCGCACACACAACGGUUGCCCCACGAACCACUCGUCUCGUCGCAUUAACUCUGCGGCAGGACAGGCGACACCUUUGGCAGGCGAAGCGGGCGACACUUCACCUCCGCCAUAAUGACCGCGUCAAAAAAGGUGUGCCACGUCGUUCAAAUUCAUACCCCUUUUUCUCUUCCCCUUUCUCUCUCUUGCUACAGGGACCGGGAAAGGGGAUACUCCGAAAGGGAUCCUUCUCCGCGAAGGAAGCAGGCCCCAAGCCCCCCUACUGAUCAGAGGUUCGAAGGCUGGCCCCUCGGAAGGGUUCGACAGCUGCCUCAGAGCACUCGGGCCCCGAGCCCUCCUACUGAUUAGAGGUUCGAAGGCUGGCCCCUCGGAAGGGUUCGACAGCCGCCUCAGAGCACUCGGGCUCCGCGCCCACCACUGGUCAGAGGUUCGAAGGCUGGCCCCUCUGUGGGGUUCGACAGCCGCCUCAGACCACUCGGGCUCUGCGCCCACUACUGAUCAGGGGUUCGUAGGCUGGCCCCCGAAGGGUUCGACAGCCGCCUCAGAGCACGUAGAGCGAGGGAUGACUCUAGGUACGUCCGAUACAUGGUCGAGGCUCGAGCUACGCUCCCGAGGUACCCUAGGACAUUUCCGAGACUAGCAGGAGCGAUUCUGUAACGGAAUCCCAUUAGAGGGAGGCAUCGAGCCCUCGGACCCUAUCAAACGGGACCGGGUCCGGCAAAUCACCUGCAGGUACUUUUGGAGCGCGCCUCUGGGCCACUAGCCGACCCUUAUCGAACGGGGCACGGGCGUCCACUCGGAUCACCCGUUAGCAACUCACUGGAGACACCUUGUUCGGUGCCCUCCGAGGGCAACAUGGCGCUUUCCCUUCCUCCUCCUUGCGGAAAGGCGACACAGGGGCGUAAGAAAAAAAGCCGAGUUUGUCCUUGACCGUCCUCUCGCUCUAUGCGGAGGCUCGGGGGCUGCUCUCGCAAACCCGGCUCCGGCCAAACCGUUGACAGCGUUAACAUACCAGCCCGAGAACUUGGAACCUGACUAUGCACCCGGGCUACGGCUAGUUCGCAUGAGGGAACAACCAGACCGACUGAAGCAUCACGAAACGCGCUAAGACCUCGAAGGAGUCAAACCACUCCUCCGAGGCCUCGGGGGCUACACCCGGCGGGUGCGCUCGCGCGCACCCACUGGAACAAAAUGCAACCGAGAAAGGUCGGUCCCCUUGCAAAAAAGUGUGACAAAAACCUCCAAGCGAGUACUAACACUCCCUUCGAGGCUCGGGGGUACUGUCGGGGACCAUAAUUAGUGGUACCCCCAAGACUCCUAAAUCUCAGCUGGUAACCCCCAUCAGCACAAAGCUGCAAAGGCCUGAUGGGCGCGAUUCAGGUCAAGGCUCCGUCCACUCAAUGGACAUGAUCCCGCCUCGCCCGAGCCCAGCCUCGGGCAAAGGCAGCCGACCCAGGAGGAUUCACGUCUCGCCCGAGGGUCCCCUCAAGCAAUGGACGCACCUUCGGCUCGCCCGAGGCCUAGUCUUCGCGGAGAAGCAACCUUGGCCAGAUCGCCACGCCAACCGACCAUAUUGCAGGAGCAUUUAAUGCAAGGAUCGACUGACACCUUAUCCUGACGCGCGCUCCUCAGUCGACAUUGCCAAAGUGACCGCAGUCACUUUGCCGCUCCACUGACCGACCUGACGGGAAAACAGCGCCGCCUGCCCCGCUCCGCCUACUGUGCCACUCGACAGAGUGAGGCUAACAGCAGCUAAGUCCAGCCUCGGGCGCCAUAGGAAGCUUUGCCUCGCCCGACCCCAGGGCUCGGGCUCAACCUCGACGUCGGACGACGGACUCCGCCUCGCCCGACCCCAGGGCUCGGACUCAGCCUCGACCUCGGAAGACGGACUCCGCCUCGCCCGACCCCAGGGCUCGGACUCAGCCUCGACCUCGGAAGAUGAACUCCGCCUCGCCCGACCCCAGGGCUCGGACUCAGCCUCAACCUCGGAAGACGGACUCCGCCUCGCCCGACCCCAGGGCUCGGACUCAGCCUCGACCUCGGACGACGGUCUCCGCCUCGCUCGACCCUCGAGCCCAGACUCGACCUCGACCUCGACCUCGGAGGAGCCUCUGCCUCGCCCAACCUCGGGCUCGGACCGAUCACGUCACAGGGGGGCCAUCAUUACCCUACCCCUAGCUAGCUCAGGCUACGGGGAACAAGACCAGCGUCCCAUCUGGCUCGCCCCGGUAAACAAGUAAUGAUGUCACCCCGCGUGCUCCAUGACGACGGCGGCUCUCAGCCCCUUACGGAAGCAAGGAGACGUCAGCAAGGAUCCGACAGCCCCGACAGCUGUACUUCCACAGGGCUCAAGCGCUCCUCCGACGGCCACGACGUCACAUGAACAGGGCGCCAAAACCUCUCCAACUGCCACGACGGCAUGUACUUAGGGCUCUGGCUCCUCUCUGCUAGACACGUUUGCACAUUGCUACACCCCCCAUUGUACACCUGGGCCCUCUCCUUACGUCUAUAAAAGGAAGGUCCAGGGCUCUCGUACGGGAGGUUGUCCGCGCGGGAGAACGGGCUGGCAGACAGCCUCUCUCUCUAUCUCUCUCUCUCUCUCCCUCGCGGACGCUUGUAACCCCCUACUGCAAGCGCACCCGACCUAGGUGCAGGACAACACGGAGGCCGCGACUUUCCCCUUUGCUGUCUCUCCCCCCUUUUGUGUUCCAUCUCGCGCUGACCCAUCUGGGCUGGGACACGCGGCGACAAUUUACUCGUCGGUCCAGGGACCCCCCGGGGUCGAAACGCCGACACUACUCGCUCACGAUUAGCUAAUUUUUGUGAGCAUUACUCGUUUGUCUCUUCUAUUGAGCCUUUCAGGGUAGAAGAGGCCUUGCAAGAUCCGGACUAGGUGUUGGCCAUGCAGGAAAAGCUCAACAACUUCAAGCGAAAUGAAGUUUGGACCCUGGUGCCACGUCCCAAGCAAAACGUUGUGGGAACCAAGUGGGUGUUCCGCAACAAGCAAGACGAGCACGGGGUAGUGACACGUAACAAGGCUCGACUUGUGGCAAAAGGUUAUGCCCAAGUCGCAGGUUUGGAUUUUGAGGAGACUUUCGCUCCUGUGGCUAGGCUAGAGUCCAUUAGAAUAUUGUUAGCCUAUGCCGCUCACCACUCUUUCGGGUUGUUUCAAAUGGACGUGAAGAGCGCCUUCCUCAAUGGGCCAAUCAAGGAGGAGGUGUACGUGGAACAACCCCCUGGCUUUGAGGAUGAACAGUACCCCGACCAUGUGUGUAAGCUCUCUAAGGCGCUCUAUGGACUUAAGCAAGCCCCAAGAGCAUGGUAUGAAUGCCUUAGAGAUUUUCUAAUUGCUAAUGCUUUCAAGGUUGGGAAAGCCGAUCCAACUCUUUUCACUAAGACUUGUGAUGGUGACCUCUUUGUAUGCCAAAUUUAUGUCGAUGACAUAAUAUUUGGUUCUACUAACCAACAGUCUUGUGAGGAGUUUAGUAGGGUGAUGACACAAAAAUUUGAGAUGUCGAUGAUGGGAGAGUUGAACUACUUCCUUGGGUUCCAAGUGAAGCAACUCAAGGAUGGCACCUUCAUCUCCCAAAUGAAGUACACGCAAGACUUGAUCAAACGGUUCAGGAUGAAGGACGCCAAGCCCACGAAGACACCAAUGGGCACCGACGGACAUGUAGACCUCAACAAAGGAGGUAAGUCCGUUGAUCAAAAGGCAUACCAGUCUAUGAUAGGGUCUUUACUUUAUUUAUGUGCCAGUAGACCGGAUAUUAUGUUAAGCGUAUGCAUGUGUGCUAGAUUUCAAUCCAAUCCAAGGGAGUGUCACCUUGUGGCCGUUAAGCGAAUUAUUAGAUAUUUAGUUGCUAUGCCUUGCUUCGGGAUCUGGUAUCCAAAGGGGUCUACCUUUGACUUGAUUGGAUACUCAGACUCUGAUUAUGCUCGAUGCAAGGUUGAUAGGAAGAGUACAUCAGGGACGUGCCAAUUCCUAGGAAGGUCCCUGGUGUCUUGGAGUUCUAACAAACAAACCUCCGUUGCCCUAUCCACCGCUGAGGCUGAGUAUGUUGCCGCAGGACAGUGUUGCGCGCAACUACUUUGGAUGAGGCAAACCCUCUGGGACUUUGGCUACAAUCUGAGCAAAGUCCCACUCCUAUGUGACAAUGAGAGUGCAAUCCGCAUGGCGGAUAAUCCUGUUGAGCACAGCCGCACUAAGCACAUAGACAUCCGUCAUCACUUUUUGAGAGACCACCAGCAAAAGGGAGAUAUCGAAGUGUUCUAUAUUAGCACCGAGAACCAGCUAGCCGAUAUCUUUACCAAGCCUUUAGAUGAGAAAACCUUUUGCAGGCUGCGUAGUGAGCUAAAUGUCUUAGAUUCGCGUAACUUGGAUUGAUUUAUAGCAUACAUGUGUUUUAUGCCUUUGAUCCAGUCACUUUAUGCAUUUAUGAGAUUUAUUGUUUAUUGAUGGUGCUCAAGUUGUGCAAGGGAUCCCCGGACCUCAUAAGUCCAUGUGUGAGUAAUGCACAUAUUUAGGGGGAGAAGUGCUACAACCUGAUCCUUUGAGACUAACAAUUGUGUUGAGAUUACUUAAGGUAGCCUCAAAGGUGAAUUGAAAGGGAAAUGUGAACUUGGACAAUGCAAAGACUUCCACUGCACUCCGGUAUUAACUCCAAGUUCAUAUCUAAGCUCUUAUUGCCUUUUUGCUCUUAAUUGACAAUUUUGGUGAGGCAAUGGGGUUAAAGGGCCAAGAAUCAUCCCAUUUUGGUGCUUAAUGCCAAAGGGGGAGAAAUUAAGGCCAAAGCAAAUGGAUCAGCUACCACUUGAGAAUUUUGAAAAUAGUAGAGUUAGAACUUUUGAUUUGGCAAAAUACUCUUAUUGUCAAAAUUUGGUCUCUUGUGGGGAGAAGGUUUGAUUAUGGGAAAAAGGGGGAGUUUUUAGCUCUUAAUCAUUUUUACUCUCGGAUUAUCUCUCUUUGUGCCCAAACAAAUAUGUUUGACUUAGAGAUAGGAAAAUGAAUUUGAUGUGCAAAAACAAACCAAGUGGUGGCAAAGAACGAUCCAAAUAUGUCAAAUCUUGUCAAAGACUAUUUUUGUUCUCAAUUGCAUUGAUGUUGCACUUCUAUUUGUUGCUUGUUGAUGUGUUGGCAUAAAUCACCAAAAAGGGGGAGAUUGAAAGGGAAAUGUGCCCUUGGGCCAUUUCUAGUAUAUUUUGGUGAUUAAGUGUCCAACACCUAUUAAGUGGGUUAUUAUAUGCCAAAUAAUGAAUGAAGUGCAAAUCAACAAGAAGGUAUGUUUCUAAGACUUAGUACAUUGAUUUGGGUACUAAUGUAUUGUAUCUAAGUGAUAGAAACAGAAGAAAAAGGAUUGGAAAAGAGUUGGCUGUGUACAGCAAACUGCUGCUCGGUCUGGGUGCACCGGACUGUCCGGUGGUGCACCGGACAGUGUCCGGUGGUGCCAGACUGGCUUCCGGCGAACUGGCCGCUCUAGGGAAAACUUCGGCAGUGUACGGCUAUAAUUCACCGGACUGUCCGGUGGAGCACCGGACUGUCCGGUGUGCCAACGGCCGCCAAAUCCAUGAGCGACGCGUGGCCCACUCCAAUGGUAGGCUGGGGGCACUGGACUGUCCGAUGUGCACCGGACAGUGUCCGGUGUGCCAACCAACGCGAAGUUGCAAUGGUCGGCUGCGCCAGGAAUGGAAGGAAAUCGCUCACCGGACAUGAACAGUGGUUGUCCAGUGGCGCACCGGACUGUCCGGUGCGCCACCCGACAGAAGGCAACUUUGGCCUUCCAAGAAUGCCUCCAACGGCUACUAGCUGCCUUGGGGCUAUAAAAGGGACCCCUAGGCUCAUGGAGGAGACACCCAAGCAUACUUUGAGCAUUCUAAGUCUUCCACACUCCGUCUCCGCGCACUUGAUUGACUUUGUUAGUGAUUUGAGCUCUGUUCUAGUAGUGAACUAGUUGUGCUUCAUUCGAGCUCAAGUCUUGGCUUAUGUGUGUGCGUAUUGCAGUGGAUUUGUGUGUGUUGCUUCCCACCCUUACUCUUGUGCUUUCACUUUGAUAUUUGUUGUAAGGGUGAGAGACUCCAACUUGUGGAGAUUCCUCGCAAACAGGAAAAGAGAUAAGCAAAGAAGAACACCGUGGUAUUCAAGUUGAUCAUUGGAUCACUUGAAAGGGGUUGAGUGCAACCCUCGUCCAUUGGGACACCACAACGUGGAGGUAGGCAAGUGUUAUACUUGCCGAACCACGGGAUAAACUCGCGUGUCUUUUGUGAUUGUUUUUCGGUGAUACUUGUGUUCGCAAGAGCUCGCUACUUAGCCAUACUAACACUUCAUCAAGUUUUGUGGCUAUUAGUUGUUGAAUUUUACAGGAUCACCUAUUCACCCCCCUCUAGGUGCUCUCAAUUAGUGACUUGAGAGAGAGAGUGAUCUGUGUUUUAUUUGUCGCUCUUGUCGCUUGGUUUUUGCAAUCGUGCUUCAUUCUUCUCCCAUUCUUAUUCUCAAGUGACUUGUAAUCAAAGCAAGAGACACCAAGUGUGUGGUGGUCCUUGCGGGGUCUAAGUGACCCGUUUUAUUAAGGAGAAAGCUCACUCGGUCUAAGUGGCCGUUUGAGAGAGAGGGAAAGGGUUGAAAGAGACCCGGUCUUUGUGACCACCUCAACGGGGACUAGCUUCUUUGGAACUGAACCUCGGUAAAACAAAUCAUUGUGUUCAUCCGCUUUAUUUCUUGGUUGAUUUGUUUUCCCUCUCUUUUGGACUCGGAUUUAAUUCUAACGCUAACCCCGGCUUGUAGUGUGUGCUUAAGUUUGUAAAUUUCAGAUUCCGCCUAUCCACCCCCCCUCUAGGCGACUUUCAAUAGGGCCAUUGAGGAAGGCACUUUUCACGUCCAUUUGAUACAACUUAAAGCCAUGGUAAGUAGCAUAGGCAAGUAUAUAUAUGAAUUGACUCAAGCCUAGCUACGGGUGCAUAUGUUUCAUCGAAAUCCAAACCUUUGAUUUGUGAAUAUCCUUUGGCAACAAGUCGAGCUUUGUUCCUAGUCACCACACCAUGCUUAUCUUGUUUGUUGUGGGAUACCCAUUUGGUACCUACAACAUUUUGGUUAGGACAUGGAACUAGAUGCCAUACCUCAUUCCUUGUGAAGUUGUUGAGCUCCUCUUGCAUUGCCACCACCUAGUCCGGAUCUCUAAGUGCAUCUAUCCUGUAUGGCUCAAUAGAAGACACAAUAGAGUAAUGUUCACAAAAAUGAGCAACUCAAGAUCGAGUGGUUACCCCCUUGUGAAUGUCACCAUGUAUGGAGUUGACGGGGUGAUCACUUUGAAUUGCUUGGUGGACUCUUGGGUGCGGUGGUCUUUGAUCCUGAAUCUCUUGAUCAUCUUCCUUGUCUUGAUCAUCUUCAUCUCCCCUUGAUCAAUUUCCUCCUCUUGAGGUGGCUCAUCAUAUUGAUCUUGAUCCUUGUCCUCUUGAGCCAUUUCCUCAUUUUGAGUUGGUGGAGACGCUUGUAUGGAAGAUGAUGGUUGUUCUUGUGCUUGUGAAGGCUCUUUGGAUUCUUUUGGACACACAUCCCCAAUGGAUAUGUUCCUUAGCGCGACGCAUGGAGCCUCUUCAUCAUGUAAUUCAUCAAGAUCAACUUGUUCCACUUGGGAGCCAUUAGUCUCAUCAAACACAAUGUCACAAGAAACUUCAACUAAUCGAGUGGACUUGUUGAAGACUCUAUAUGUCUUUGUGUUUGAGUCAUAACUAUGUAAAAAACCUUCUACUGCUUUAGGAGCAAAUUUAGAAUUUCUACCUCUCUUAAUAAGAAUAAAGCAUUUGCUCCCAAAAACUCUAAAAUAGGAAACAUUGGGCUUUUUACCGGUGAGGAGUUCAUACGAUGUUUUCUUGAGGAUUCGGUGAAGGUAGAGUCGGUUGAUGGAGUAGCAAGCGGUGUUAAUCGCCUCUGCCCAAAACAGAUCCGGUGUCUUGUACUCAUCGAGCAUGGUCCUUGUCAUAUCCAAGAGAGUUUUUUUCUUCCUCUCCACAACACUGUUUUGUUGAGGUGUGCAUGGAGAAGAGAACUCAUGCUAGAUGCCCUCCUCCUCAAGAAAUCCUUCAAUUUGAGAAUUCUUGAACUAUGUUCCAUUGUCGCUUCUAAUCUUCUUGAUUCUCAUUCCGAACUCAUUUUGAGCCCGUCUCAAGAAUCUCUUAAAGGUCUCUUGUGUUUGAGAUUUUUCCUGCAAAAACAACACCCAAGUGAAGCGAGAAUUAUCAUCCACAAUAACAAGACAAUACUUACUCCCAUCGAUGCUUAUGUAAGCGAUCAGACCGAAUAGAUUCAUGUGGAGUAGCUCAAGCGGCCUCUCGGUCGUCAUGAUGUUCUAGUGUGGAUGAUGAGCUCCAACAUGCUUCCCUUCUUGACAUGCGCAACAAAUCCUGUCUUUUUCAAAAUGAACAUUGGUCAGUCCUAAAAUGUGCUCCCCUUUAUAAGCUUGUGAAGAUUCUUCAUUCCAAGAUAUCAUCCUUCUCGUUAAUGGUCUUUGUCAAUUCAUUAAUCUUUUUCUUUUGAUCUUUGGUAAGGUUUGCAAAAAGAGAAGUUAAAUCAUCAUUAUCAUCACUAGAGCUACCCUCAUCAUCGGCAGUAUUGUAUUUGGGGGUAUCUCUAGAGUGUACCUUCUUCUUUUUGUCGUCCUUAGCCAUGAGGCAUUUGUGGCCGAUGUUGGGGAAGAGAAGCCCUUUGUUGACGGCGAUGUUGGCGGCGUCCUCGUCAGAGGACGAGUCGGUGGAGCUCUCGUCGGAGUCUCAUUCCCGCCCCAUGUGCGCCUCGCCACCCUUCUUCUUGUUGUAGUACCUAUCAUUUCCCAUCUUCUUCUUCCCUUUCUUGUCGUCGUCCAUGUCACUGUCACAUGUACUUGGACAUUUUGCAAUAAAGUGACUGGACUUACCACACCUAUAGAAACCCUCUUGGAACGAGGUUUGUUGUCCUUCUCCUUCCUUUGCUAAAGGAUUUGCCAGAAGCUCUUGAUGAUAAGAGUCAUCUCCUCAUUGUCAAGCUUAGAGGCGUCAAUUGGUAGUCUACUUGGUGUAGACUCCUCCUUCUUUUCUUCUGUUGCCUUGAAAGCAACGGGUUACGCCUCGGGUGUGGAGGUGGCACCUUGCUCCAAGUUGACAAUGUGUUUGGAGUCUUUGAUCAUAAGUUCAAAGCUCACAAACUUGCCAAUGACCUCCUCGGGAGACAUCUGUUUAUAUCUAGGAUCUCCACGGAUUAGUUGCACUUGAGUGGGUUUACGAAAAAUAAGAGAUCUAAGAAUAACCUUGACCAUUUCAUGGUCAUCCCACUUAGUGUUCCCGAGGUUGCGUACUUGGUUGACCAUAGUCUUGAACCCGUUGUACAUUACUUAUGGCUUCUCUCCUUUGUUGAGGAUGAAUCGACCGAGUUCUUCCUCGACCGUUUUGCGCUUGGUGAUUUUGGUCACCUCGUCCCCUUCAUGCGCCGUCUUGAGGAUGUCCCAAAUUUCUUUGGCAUUUUUUAACCCUUGCACCUUGUUGUACUCCUCUUGACACAAUGAAGCGAGGAGUAUAGAGGUUGCUUGGGAAUUGAAAUGCCUUAUUUGGGCGGCCUCAUCGGAGUCGUAGUCCUUAUCGCCCACUUGUGGUGCCUGCGCUCCAAACUCAACAAUAUCCCAUAUGCUUUCGUGGAGUGAGGUUAGAUGGUGCCUCAUUUUAUCACUCCACAUACAAUAAACUUCACCAUCAAAAUAUGGUGGUUUGCCUAGGGGUACGAAAAGUAGAGGAGCGUGUUUAGGAAUGCGAGGAUAGCGAAGAGACAUCUUACUAUACUUCUUACGCUCUUGGCGCUUCGAAGAUGUAGACUCGGCGUCGGAGGUGGAAGGUGAUGAAGAGUCGGUCUCGAGUAGACCACCUUCUUCAUUUUCUUUUUCUUCUUGUCACCCUUCCUAUGUGACUUGAUGGAGCCGACAGAUUCCUCCUUGUGUUUGUCCCCGACCUCCUUUGAUGGAGUUCUUUCAUCGUUCUUCCUUCCCAAGGCUUCCAGCUUUUCGCCGGUGACCAUCUCCCUCUUAGCGUGUUCUCCCGACAUCACUUCGAGUUGUUAAACUCUAAUGAAGCAUCGGGCUCUGAUACCAAUUGAAAGUCGCCUAGAGGGGGGUGAAUAGGUGAAACCUUAAAAUUAUAAACCUUGAAUAUACAAUACACUUGAGGUUAGGGUUAGAAAUAAAUUUGGAGUGUGGAAGAUCGUUCCUCUUGCUAUGAGUUGCUCAAUCAAUGCAGAUAAAUUUGGGAGCAAACUCAAAACGAUGUGAGCAAGAGAACUUUAGAGAGAGAGGAGAGGGAAAAAAUCGAGUGAAGAUCAACACAAGUGAACAUGAUGAUUUGUUUCCUGAGGUUUGGUUCUAAAGAACCUAGUCCCCAUUGAGGAGGCCACAAAGGUCGGGUCUAUUCCAACCCUUUCCCUCUCUCAAUCGGUCACUUAGACCGGUCGAGUGCUUCUUCUUAAUCACACGGGUCACUAAGACCCCGCAAGGAUCACCACACAAUUAGGUGUCUCUUGCUAGCUUUACAAAGCACUUAGAAGAAUUAGAGUGAGAAGAAGAAAGCAAUCCAGGGAACAAGAGCAACAAAAGGAACACAUAUCUCACUCUCUCAAGUCACUAAGCACUUGAUUUGAUUUUGGAGCUUGGAGGGGAUUGAAUGCUUUGAUUGUGUCUUUGGAGUGUAUUCUUUGCUCUAGUAUUGAAUGUGAAGGUUGGAAGGCUUGGAUGGCUUGAAUGGAGGUGGUUGGGGGGUAUUUAUAGCGUCCAACCACUUCCUAGCCGUUGGCUGACUUUGCUGUCGAUGGGCACACUGACAGUCCGGUGGUGGACCAUACAUAGCAUUGUUCACUGUCUAGUGAGUGCCACGUCAGCCGACCGUAAGGGUUUGGAGCUGUUGGCCAUUGAAGUCCUUUGUCCUCUCUUGUUGCACCGGACAGUCUGGUUGCGCACCGGACAGUUCUGUGCAUUCUGACUUUGCAGUUUUGACUUCUGACUUCUGCUCUAUUCACUGUUCUAUCGUCAGUGCAGUCGACCAUUGGGCGAAGUUGACCGUUGCUCUGUUUGCUCACCGGACAGUCCAGUGGCACACCAGAUAGUCUGGUGAAUUUUAGUGGAGUGGCUUUGAGAAAACCCGAGAGCGGCCAGUUCGCGAGGGCUGCAACCUGGGGCACCGGACAGUGUCUGGUGCGCCACAAACUACGCCAGGUCUUUGUAUGCUCCAAACUUUGUAGAAUUCCCAAAAUCAAUUUGUUGCAUGUUAAUUGUGAACUUUAUGCACCUGAUUAAAAACAUUCACUAGGCAAACUAGUUAGUCCAUAUGGUUUGUGAUGGACGUCAAACACCAAAAUCAAUUAUAGGAAAUGUUGAGGCCAUUUCCCUUUCACCUCCCCUCUAUGAGCCUAUCCAAGUACCUUGCCUAUUUUAAAGGCAAGAGAGGGGGAGCGCAAGCGACCUUGUUCGUUAAUCUUGUUAUUAGUUGAUGCCUCCUUUCACCCAUGGAUUGGAGGAGACCUCCUAGAAGGGAUUGCUCAAGGAAAUGGUUCGACCAAGCCACCCUUAUCUUGGGGUUUCCUCUUAUCCAUCUUCUGGUUAGCUCUCGGUUCGCUUCUCAGGGUGGCGCUCACCUCUCCUGAUGAGGAAAGGUGCCAUGCGCUCAUGCCCCAACCAUGCUCCUCGUCGACCCUUUCGAGGCAGACAACGGACAACCUUAUGAGGGAUUUGGGCACGACCCGCAUGGCUUUGGAUAUGGAUAAUGCUGAGUUCCAAUGUCUUCAGUUGCGGCUAGCGAUCCUUAGCGAUCCUAGGGCAGGUAGACUUUUUUAAUCUGUCCUCUAGGUUCUCAGUCUCUCAUACUCCUGAUUGUCUAGAAAUCCUUCGCAGAACCUAGGACCAAAGCACUGGCUUUUUCCUAUGCAUAGAUCGAGCCACAAGAUUUGUUCAUGAAUGGGGAGGAAUCAUGGAUUGUGUCUCAUUGACAUCUCGGAUCGUGUUCGUGCGGCCGUAGAGCUCGGGGUUCAGCGGGGCGUAGCGAUGGCUCUCGCUAUCGCACAGCUUCACUUCAGUGGUAACCUCUAUGAUGCUACUCAAGGUGGUGUUGGUGGAGGAAAUAAUCCAUGGCCUACUAUAACCUUGUUCUGUGGCUCAAUCAUUUUUGCAACAUGUAUGGGUUUUUGGGUCCCAGAUCCCAGUUGGUCUCAGGAUUUCUCUCGGUCUAGGGGGUCCUCCUCCUGUUCGUCGAUCUUUUAGACGUCGUCUCGUCUAGAGUUUGUCCUAGUGUCGUUCGUCCGAGAGAAAGGAACCACUAAGUGCCCUCUCGUGUUCGGGGCCGUCCUCCUCCCUUUAUAGGCUAAGGAGGGGGUCAGCCCGUGGUGGCUUCCUUGGGAAGGAGCCACCAGGACAUGGUAAAACUGAGUGUAUUACCAUGGGGUAAAGCCACGCAUGCUUGUGGUCGCUUGGAUGUCCUGUAUUCUUCAUUACGGAUGGUGCUGGCAGCGUGGGCCUGAGCGCCAUCAUUUGGGCUAUGCCGACCCUUAGCCUUCCUAGCCUGGAGCACGACGUUUCUCAUCAUGUUGCGCCUUGCCAGCGGGCUGUGCACUCAGGCCUAGUCCUGAUAGGUCAUGAGUGUGCCACUAGUCAGGGGAUGCGUGGGCCAUAAAUGUGCCAUAGUCCGAGGGGCUUGCAGGUCAUGAUUGAUCCGCACCUCGAGGGGCUCGUAGCCUUGUAGGUCAUGAGUGGGAGGCAGACCGACGCCUCCGUUGUGGCUCGACGCCAUGCGGAUUAAUGCAGCUGAUCAUUUAUGGUAGGUCGGUCUCAGGCUAGGUGUGGGAUCGACUCGAGUGGUUUCCCUUUGGCAGGCCUGGCCCCCCCUAUUCGAUUCCUCCAUGCCAGACCGAGGUUCAGUGCAGCUGGAUUCAUCCGGGGGCGGGUUCUUCGGGGUAUAUGUUACCUAUCUCCUUCGACUGACCAACGAGCCCCAGUUGCCAAAGGCCUUUUCCCAAUUUCUUGCUGACCGAUGGGCCCCAAGGACUAGGGAUCAUAUCCUCGAUAGGGAGCGUCAUCACAACUGCUCACUGAUCGUCUUUCUUAUUUUGGGUGUCGUCUCGAAUUAUUUUAUUCCUCUUUAUCUUGAUGAAUAUGUGGAGGAAGACACUAUGGACAUCUAUCUACACUAACUAUGAUCGAUCAUGGAUCUGGGAAGACACUAUGGACAUCUAUAUACACUCAUUAUGCUCGAUCAUGGCACCCACCACAUGGGACCACCUACUCCCUCACUAGUCGGAUCCCUAGGUCUCGCUCGCACUACCCAUUUCAAGCUUGAUGAACACAACGUUCACACCAGCCUUGGUAACAUUAGCAUGUCCACCCCCUAUAGGAAAAUGUAGAGACCUUGGGAUGGGGGUUGACGGGAACAACAACAAAGGAUACCCAACCAAUUCUAUAAAAAAUGACAUGAUCGGAUAUUCAGAUGCAUCCACCGUACAACCAAAAAACACCUUUUUAUCUGACCACAAGGUCGUCCCACUAAAUGACCCCCGAUCGACUCAAUGGACUCGAUCAGGGGCUCAAGGGUGUUUGUUCGCUUUUUAUACCAAGUGCAUAUGAUGACCAAAUGAUCAAACCUGAUGUCCAACCAUAAGGUUGUCCCACUAAACAAACCCUAACCGACUCGAAGGACUCGCUCAGGGGCAUAGUGGUCUACGUCCACCCUAGCACGCCAAGUGCAUAAUAGCGACCAGAUAACCAAACCUUAUAUCUAGUCACAAGACCAUCCCACUAUGUGAACCCCUACCAACUCAGCAAACUCACUUGGGUGCUCAGGGGUCUGCGUUCACCCCCACUCGGGUGCUUAGGGGUCUACGUCCGCCCCGGCGCACCAAGUGCGUCUAGUGACUAAAUGACCAAACUUUCUGACCACAAGUAUGCUAAAGGCACCCGAUAACUAGGUGGCCAAAAUGAACACCUUACUCUAAACCUAGGCCCACAUGAUGCACCAAAGGUACCCCACCAACCAAGGGAAAAACAAAAAGCUUACCCAUAUCCGAAAAAUGAUAUGUUUUCAAAAGCUCAACUGAGAUCGCUUAUCGGUCCCUUAGUCGAUUUCAUGAAAUCAUCUAGGGGCUCAGGGGCUACAUUCAUCGGACACAUCAGGCAUUCCUGGUUGGUCUUUAUAAAACUUAGGCCAUCCCACUUAGCAACCACCUGACCAGUUUCACGAAAUCACCCAAGGACUCAAUGGCUAUACCCAUUGGACGUGUUAUGUGCGCUCGAUCGAUUUGCUCUCAAAAACCCAAGUCGUCCUACUUGGCUACUGCUCGCUAAUUUCACAAAAUUUCCUAAGGACUCUAGGGCUACUUUCACUAGACAAAACUGCAAGAGCCUAGGUGACCAGGACAACCAAAUCCAUCCUAAGGAACAACAUCAUUCACUAGAAACAAACAAGACAUGCACACAAACUGAAACCAAGAAAAGUCUACAAGAAUAGCCCUCAACCAAAUCUUUAGAAUUCAUCCAAUGGCUUAAGGGCUACUAAUGUGUACGCAUACGAUGGGUAUUCCAAGACAGUCCAAAAGUCCCACACCAAGAUAAGAACACCGCCUAGCAUGGCCUCGACUAGGGUAGCUCCCAAUCAAAGCAACUCCAAUCUAGUUAACCUAACAAGGUUGGCCCCAACUAGAGCUCCCUUGGCCUAGUCACUCGUCCAUGGCAAUCCCAAUCUCAUCACCAUGAUCAAGCCAGCCCCAACUCCCUUGACCUAGUUCCUCGACCAGGUCAACCCCAACCUUAGUCACCUUGGGUAAUCCUGACCUGGUCACCUCGACCAGGUUGGCCCCAACCUCGGUCACUUUGAGCUAGGUUAGUCUAGUUCAUACACUCAUAAUAAGACUCUACGACAUCAUAGACCGAGGGUACCAUGAACCUCUAUGAAAGGCUAACACAUUUAUGACCUCUAACCAUUUGGGACAUGCUCUUAACUAAGGCAUGUGUUGGAUAAAUUCAGGUAUAGUACAAAGAUCUGCAAAGACAUUUGUAUCUAACCAAUUGGAUCCCCAAAGGACAAUAAGGACAUGUGGGUCAUGACAUGCCCCACUAUAGGUGUGAGGUGAUCAUACGCCUUGGACAAGAUAUGUGUAGAAGGAAGCAAUCUCGAGGCAAAGCACUCGUAUGACUCCCUCAAGGAUGCCACCUCACAAGUCUCUGGGCAUCCCUGUGCAAGACUCAACAUCCCCUAGUCUAGUUAGGCCAGACAUGAUAGAACCCGAGGCCAGAUGUGCCAACAGUAGCAAGCCUUCGGAAGCAUAGGAGACGACAUAUGACCCAAAGAUUAGAAAUGACACACACCACCAACUUCUCCAUGCAACAAUGUCCACAUGUUCCCUCGACUAUAUAAAGGGAACUAGACCCCUAUAGAAACCAAUCGACAUCUAAAUUCUCAUUCAAACUUUCAUUCGCCUAAGUCCCCGAUUGGCACACUAGCACGAGAUCCCCAUGCUCUUCCUUAUAACACGACCAAAUAUCAACAAAGAUUUCAACACCAUACUAGACAUAAGACACUUGUUUGAAAUAGUCUAGAACUCCUCUCCAGAGCUCACAUGAGCAAAGCCAUUGGGGCAAUAGCCUACAAAAACCCCACUAACCUAAAGAUUUAUUUGACGUGGGUACAAAACCCUGACAAUAAGUGACCAUCAACUAAGUGAUCAAAUCAACAAGUUCCCUCAUCUACAUGACCUCAAGUUUAAUAAGUGGCACUCUAACGCUAACAAGUAGUAUAUUAAUUUUAUCAAGUAAUAUGAUAUACUUUGUGGAGGUGUCCAUAAAAAUGCAGCAUUCAAGUGUCCCACAUCCAUACCCUUGUGUAAAUAUUUUAGGGUAAUUAAUGACAAAGGGGAGAUAUUGGUACAAAGAUAUGAUUGAUACAAAUAUUUGAUGAAGCUUGCAUAUAGGGGAAAAUUGGUAUAAGGAUAUGAACAUAUGCAACAAAAAAGAGGUAAUACUCCCUCCGUUCCAAAUUAAAUUUUGUUUUACCUUUUUAUUGGAUUCAUACAAUAAUUAAUGUAUAUAUGUUCUAUAUAUAAGUCUAGGUUCAUAGUCAUCCAUAUGAAUAUAGGCAUAAAAAUAUAGAGCUAAAAUGACUACUAUUUUGGGACGGAGGGAGUAUCUGUCAAUAUGGAUAUGGACUUAAGGGGGGAGUUAUUGAUCAUAUGGUCUCAAAAGUUCAAUAAAAGGGGAUCAAAAUUCUUGGACAAGAAAAGCAUACAAGUAGGGGGGAGCAAACUCAUGAGUAUAUGUUUCAUGCAUUACAUUCACUUACUUGCAUUACAUUUGUUUUAAAACACCCUAAUACUUGUAUGCAAGUGUUUGCUAGAGCUAAGACUUGGUUGAUGAAUUUCUUUACUGUUAACUAGAGUGUAGUCUUGGUAUAACAUGUUGUAUCUAGAACCUUAUCCAUAAUGUUGAUCUCAUGUGGCAUCUAAUUUGACUUGUUUCUAGCAAGAUUGAUGCCAAAGAUAUUUUUAUGAGUGGUAUACACACUACAAAGGUAUAUUUCUAUCUUGUAUAUAGCUUAGCAUCAUUUUGUAGUGAUAAUGCUCCCACAAAUUUCAUAUUCAUGCAUGUGUGUAAACUUGAAACAGAACCAUUUAUGCACACUUGUGAGUUAUCACUACCAAAUCAAUUUUUAUUAUUCUUAUUUGAAUCUUAACAUCUAAGCUUAAAGUAAGAAACAUAAGACCAAACCAAAUUAGCAGUUUAAACUUGUGUGAAGAGCUAUCUUGGAAAAAGAACGAAAACAACAUAUCUUUGUAGAGUUAUCAUCAAUUACCAAAAAAGAAGAUUGAAAGAACCUUGUUUGGUUUUGGUGAUUGACUGACAACUUAGGUGUACUAAUACAUGUUUAUGUUGACAUACCCAUGGUUUAGUCCAUAGGUACACUAGUUUGAGCAACUCUAGACAUGAAGAAGGAAAUGGCUUUGACAUGUUGAAGAUGCUCAUCUAAGUGUAAAAUAAUAAACUCAUUGCAUAUGAGACAUGAUAUGAUGCCAUGUGGCUAGGUGGAAAAGAUCUAGAGACAAGGCUUGGCUAUGAUGGACUUGUUGCACGUGUGAAGGGCAAGUCAAAGAACUUGGCACCGUGGACCAAAGUCAUGAUGAAGAGCAAACAAAGUUAUGAUUAAAGAACCAAUAAGGCUACAUUAUGACAUGAAUUGGAUCAUAUCAUUCAUGGAGAACGAUGAAGGAACUUCAUGCUAUGAGAAAUGAUUGAAGAUAUGUCUUCUAGGACAUUUCAUUUUACCAGUCAAAGUUUGUGCGGAGAAGCAUGUGAUCGGGUUUAAGAUAGAUAGUCAUACUAUUAAGAGGGCAAACUUCUUUGCAUAUUAGUCAUCUAGUUCCACUUGUGAGAUCUAACAUGUGACGUACUUAGAUUGAGUGGCAUGGUGAAAAGGGAGAGAAACCCCCUUUGAAAAUGUUUGUGGAAAGGCUAACUCAUGUGCUCAAGUUGGUGGAACACUUGGGAGUUUGUUUUUUAAAGGGGGUAAAGUGUGUAUAGUAGACUGCCCCGACUUAGAGGGGCAGACUAUCCAUGAAGCUACCUAGAGAAUGGCCAAAAGCUGUGAGUUCCUAUCUUGUGUUGAAGUUUGGAUGACAUAUUAUUCGGCCCUAGGGGUGGACUGUUCGCAAGUCUAUUAUGGUGGUGAAUGAAAACUGGAAAGUUUCUAGGUGAGCUGAAUAUUGUCUCGUAUGCAAUCCGUCAUCAGAUCUGGGUCCUUGGGUGAACUAUUUGGUGUACUAUUUUGGAGAUGGACAAGAACUUGAAAGUUUCUAGGUGAAAAUAUGGUUUUGCCAACGAACUGACUGCACCCCUAUGGCGAACUAUACACCCUUUAUUUCAAAAGGGGAUACAAACUAGUAAUUUCUUGGCGUGCUAAUUUUGGCCGACAGACUAUCUGCCAGUCACUUAUGUGUUAUCUAACACACUUUUAUUUGAAAUAUAGUUGUGGGAGUUCUAUUGCAUACUAUCCAUGAUUUGUACUAUGGAUUGUCCAUGAGUGCAUAGAUUCUUUGAAAAGGCGCGAUAAUGACUAGUUGGUCCCUAUUUUCUAUAAAUAGAGGGGUGUUCGGUCAUUUGAAAAAAGAGUGCACCUUGGAGAUGUGUUUCCCAUGUGUUGUACUUAGCUUUGGCCCUUAUAUAUGUUUGAUAGAGAACACAUUAUACCGUGUAAGAGUGAUUUCUAGUGUGUUGCAUUGAUCAGUUGCAAGUAGUGGCACUAUGUCGUCAAGUUGCAAGUUGCAAGCUAGUGGUGCUUGCAACUCUUGGAGGUUGCCAUCUCCUAGAUGGCUUGGAGAUUGUGGCUCCAUAGAAACUCGCAUGAAGUUGUGCAUGGAUCCAUAGAAGGCUUUGUGAGGGGUACUAUGCUCGCCAUGCGGGAUACACGAAAAGCAACAACAAUAGAGUGAGGUGUGAAGAGCACCAAGUGGUCUGGCUCGAUCAAGUGCUAGAGCUUGGGUGUGAGCACUCCACAAGAGAGAGUGUGACUUGUAGGGUAGCACUAGCAAGAGGAUCAACGCCAAACUUGGACUUGCCUCAACAGAGAGUAAGUGGUUAGCAAACCAUCAACCCCUUUGAGAAAAAAAUAUUGUGUUAACAUUUAUCUUCAUGCUGCUUUGCAACUUCCUAUCGCUAGCUUGUUCACUUAUUUAUAUUGGGCUAGUGAUUAGUAUUGUUAUUCAACUAGUUUAAUUAUGUAGUAAAAUACUUGUUCUCUUGUGGUAGCAAGCUUGUGUAGCUUAAUAUCUUUACUUAACUUGUAUAGUUAAGCCGUUUAUCUCACUAGUUAUCUUGUGUAGCCUUGCUAGCUGAGUAGUAUUAAUGUGCUUAUGCUUUGUGCACUUUGCACACUAGUAUGUUUAGAAGUUUCUGAAUUGUUUGAGUGCUAGUUACUUAGGUUUGUGUGACCUUGCCAAUUAAAUUUUAUUUAGGUGAGCUCUGUUGGAACUUGCUCUCAGCUGCAAGGGGAUCCAACAAGGGUGAACGGUGACGUUAACAGGGUGCUCGCGCUAGAUGGCGAUAGCUCCGUUAAUCUGGCCUCUCACGAGCACUGUGCAGGGGUAUUUAUAGGUACCUGAGCGCGCAGCGCCUUGAGCUAAGGACGCAUGUGCCCUCAGCUACCUAGGUUAUCCCCAGAAUAUUCCCAUAAAGCGGGGUUACAGACCGUAAUUACAGGGAUGCCUUUACAAAUUAGGCCCGUAACGCACGGCGGCCACGCGGGGCCCGCUACGAUGGGCCGGAUCGCACGUGGGCCUCUGAGCUGGACGAGGCCGCACUGUGGGAUGUCCUUCGUCGCCGGUCUUCGUUUGGUGCGGAACAAGCGAAGGGUGUCCCUGCCUGUUUUGUUUCUGUUAGCUCAGCUGCUGCAGCGAAGGCUUCGAGCGAAGGGUGGCGCCUUUGCCUUCGCCCCAACAUUUGCCCUCCGAGGGACCAGUUCGACAAAGUCACCUGGUGCCGAAGACGUCGCUAGAUGGCGGAGUCGCUGCCCUCGCUCGAAGUGGUUCCGCGGGGGUUUUUGAUAUGACCGUUGAUUGACGGCGUACUGUUGGAUUGCGGGUUUCCCGAAGCGCCGCGCCCUGUUGGAUUGUGGGUUUCCCGAAGAGCCGCGCCCUGCCUAUAAAAGGGGGCGGGGGUCGGCGCUUUUUGAACUUCACUUUCCGCGCUCCGCGAAAACCCUAGCCGCCCUUUCCACCGUCUUGCUGCUCGUCUGCCCGCCGUGCUCUUGUUCGCCGGAGAUCUGGCUCGAGUGAAGCAGACCGCCCGCCGCCGCCGACGGUACGUAGCGAUGCCGUCCUCGUCUUCUUCCGCUGCCGCUACGCCGCCGGCCGAUCCCUCGCCGCCGGCCGCCGCCUCGUCUGAGGAGACGCUGAGUAGUUUGAUGGCGGAGGAGUUGCGCGCCGGCGAUUCUGUUGAUUUUGGCGUAUCGCGGAUGUCGUCGGUUCGCGUGCAAGAUAUGCAGCGGUUGGGUUACUUCGGCGGCGGAGUCGCUCGAGUCCCGGGGACGGAGGAAGUCCCCGAGCCAGAGGGCGAGUUGGUUGUUUUCGAGGCGUUCUUCGCCGCCGGACUCCGCUUGCCUGCGCACCGAUUUGUUGGCGAAGUCCUGCGCAGGUUCAACGUUCAAAUACAUCAGCUGACACCGAAUGCGAUGGUGGCUCUGUCGAAGUAUGUCUGGGCGACGACUUCGUACAGCGGACAGCCAUCGGUCGAAGUUUUUGCGAAGUAUUAUUGUUUGCACUGGCAGAAGAGGAUGAUUGGAGACGAAGUUGCUCAGUUUGGGUCUUGCACGUUCACGCCGAAGACCGGCAAAACCACGAUGCAGGUAGUCGAGUUGGUUCCUUGCGCCUGCAACAAGUGGGGCAACUGGAAUGAAUUUUGGUUUUACGUUGCUGAGUGUACCGUCGAAGGCCAUGAGGGACUCCCCGUGUCCGAGAUGUGCUCUCAUUUUUACUCAGCGUACCCGCCCUUUGAAGUGGCGGAGGAGGAUGUGGACAAAGGGGCCCUUCGGUGCGCCGCCGGUCUGAGCAGUGGGCGCGACUUGGUUGAAGAAUUUGUGGCGUACGGGGUAUGGCCCUUGGCGCAUGGCUGGGCGUUGGGCGAAGUGUGCCCUCGCCAGAUGCCUUUCCAUGGCGGAAGGGUGGUGCGGAGUCCCGCCUUCGCGCUGAAUCUGCAAAACCACGAUCCGGCCGCCUUUGUGCGUGAGGCGGAGGAUGGGGCGGUGUGGUUCGUUGGACGUUAUGUGCCGAGGACAGAGGGCCAGCGCAGCUGGGAUAUCCGCGGGUCGAAUGACCGUUUGAACAGGGUUUUUGAAUUAAAUCAAUUGCCAUAUGACGGCUACCCUGGUCAAGACGAUAUGGACCGUCGUGGGAAGAAGCCGGCGAUGGAGACUGGAGACGACCCUGCGCCGGCGGCCGCCCCAUCCUCUAAAAAGAGAAAAUUAGGUACUGCUAUGGGAGGGCUUGGGGUUUCUGAUGGUUUUGCUAGAGAGUUGAUGAGGACGUGCGCGGCCCCGGGGGGAAGGAUGUCUUCGCCCGAGCUCCGGGAGUCUUCGGCUCGGAUGCUGAGGGUUACCGGGGGUUGUUGGCCUAGGAAUGUUCCUAUCCCCCACGCGGCUGGCGAGGACUUUUUUACAUCUCGCAUGGUUCGUGAAUGGAGGGUUUUUCCUUACGGGCGGAAUAUUGGUGCUGUUGUGUCAGCAGUGAUGGACAAGGAUCGCCAGGGAGCUGCACAAAAGCGCCAGGCGGCUGUCAGGCUCGUUGAAGCCAGGCCGAAGAGGCAGCGGGGGGCUGUGAAGGCUGCGGCCCCCGGCAGAAGCAGGCCGCCGCUGGCGGCGAAGUCGGGCGUCCCUGCAUCUAGCAAGGCGCCGGAGGCAACGGCAGGCGCCGGAGGCUCGAAAUCGGCGAAGGCGGUGCCGCCGUCCAGCGGAGUGGCGGAGGUCGUGAAUGCGGCCCGAGCGUUGCCGUUGUCGGGCAAACGUGUCACCGACUUCGCCACCGAUAUUAGUGUGGACGACUAUCUCAGUGGUAAGUCGUUGGCUCUUAUUAUUAUUAUUAUUAUUUUUUUAAAUUUAUUCGUUGGUACGUCGCAGGGUCGGGCGAAGGCCAACUUGCUAUGGUUGCGCCUGCCGCGGCGACCACGACGGCUGCCGCAGUGCCGAAGGCGAAGGGCGGGGCUCUUAGCGCCGGAGGCGAGGUGUCGGCCCUCGCGGUUGUCAGGGAUGAGGCGGGCGCUGCGUCCCGCUGGCUGAAGGAGGUGACGGAGGCGCUAAGUCAGGUCCGCUGAGCUGGACUUCGUCCUUUUUUUUCUUUUUUUUAUCGGCUUGCUGGGGCCGCGGUCUUACGAUUGCUCUGCAGAUGGCUGACUUCGCCAGCCGCACUGCGUCGGGGGCCCUCACGGCAGCUGUGGCUGCCGAAGUCGAGAGACUUCGGACACAACAUGCUGACGCCGUCCGUGAGAAAUUGGCCGCCGACAGCAAGUGCCACGCUGGAGGGAGAGAAGGCUACCCUCCGGCGCCAGCUGGCGAGGGAAAGGAGGGAGACCAACGAGGCCCUUGUCAAGGCGCAGGCUGCGCAGGCGGAGGCUAACCUGGCACGGGCGGAGGGCAAUCUUGCCAGGGAGCGCGCCGAGCAGUUGCAGGAGCGGCUCAUCGCCCUGGAGAGCCGCGUGGAGAGGGCCGAGGCCUCGUCACGCGCGGAGGCAGAGCAGACGCACCAACUGCUUAUAGAUACAUACCGUGGGCUAGGCGCGGGGACCGGUGAUUUCGAAGUGCCGGACCGAGAGCCCGGACUUCGCUGCCUGGAGUGGGUGCAGGAGGAGUUGCAGGCACUCCCCACUGUCGUGGAGGGGUUUAUGGCUAUGCCUCCCGGUUCACCUGCGAGGGGGCGAUGAACACGCUCUCCCGCGAAGGGUGCCGACACUUCGAGGUCUUUGACCAAGCCGAUGAAGAUUUUGAGCAAGAUAUCUUUAAGGUUGAGGACCCCGUAGUGAAGGAAUCCGCCGGAGCCAUCUACGACCGGAUGUGGGGUCCGCACGGUCGCGAGGUGGUCAGGGAGCGGGCCGAAACGGCGAGGGCUCAGGUAACGUUUUCGUUUGUUUGGUGUUUGUUGGAUGUAAGCUGUGUGUGUGUUUGCUGAAUUUUGUGUGUUUUGUCUUAGACGGCGCGUGGCAAAAGGGUGGACGACUUCGGGUUGUUGAACAGCAUGCUGUCUGACCCGGAGCCGACCCCGGCGGAGGCCGUGUCUGGGGUCGCCCUGGAGCCGACCUCGGAGACUGCGGAAGACGCGUCGGGUGCCCCCGCAUCCGCUGCGGCCGGCGAAAACCUGCCCCCAGAGGUCGCCGAAGGCGCGCCUGAUGCCCCCGCAGCUGCUGCGCCGAGUGCUGAAGAUCCCGCGGCGGUGGCGGCGGAAACAACAGCAGAAGCAACGGCGGAGCCAACGGCGGAGGCUCCCGCAACGUCAGGGCCUUCGCAGGUGGCGUAGUGGGUGUAGAGGGUUGGGGAAUUUUGGAUAUGUUGCUGAAUUUUGGUUGCUGCGCAGGUUCAAGAUUUUGGGCCUGCGCACGCAACCGCCACUACUAUAUUUUUGGCGGCUUCGACCGCGGAAGGUGAUAAUGAAUGUGGUGGAUCUGCAUCUGAGUUUUUUGAUUUUGCUGACUCUGGGAGCUCGGUUGAGUGGACUGAGGAGUCGUCGUCGGAGGACUUGGACUACUUUGUGGCUUUGGAUGUGGCUACGGCGGAGGCUUCGCCGCACGCCGCGGACGUAGAAGAUGUGUCGGGUCCUAGCACUGGGCGCCGACGACGAAGGGUUGUUGCGAAGCGUAGAGUUAGUGGGGCGGAGGGGGCUCGACUUCGUGUGAGUAGGGCUGGCCGGCAGGAACUGUUGUCUUUGCCGGCCGCCGCGAGUACAGGUGAAGGGGAACUGCGAAGUCUUUUUGCGGGUGAGGAGCUUAGGAUAAUGUUAUUUAAUUAUAGAGAGAUGGGAAUUAUUCCUAAGGUUGAGCCGAAGUAGAGUGUGGUGCCCUCGCUUGUAUAUGUGUGAAGGCUUGUGUGAUGAAGUUGUGUGCCCUCGCUUGUCUAUGCCUACGAAGGCGUUGUGUACAUUGUCUGGUGUGUUUUGUUAUGCUGUGCUGGUGCAAUUAUAGUCGGUCUUGGCGCGGACGGUUUGAUGUUGUCGUUUCUGCAUUUGUUGUGCUAGUCCGGCUGCACCCUUAGGCGACUUCUGCGCGGACAGUCUUCGCGGUAGACUUUGGUUUUUUCGCACUUGUUGUGCUAGUCCGGCUGCACCCUUAGGCGACUUCUGCGCGGAUAGUCUUCGCGAUAGACUUCGGUUUCUUCGCACUUUGUUGUGCUAGUCCGGCUGCACCCUUAGGCGACUUCUGCGCGGAUAGUCUUCGCGAUAGACUUCGGUUUUUUCGCACUUGUUGUGCUAGUCCGGCUGCACCCUUAGGCGACUUCUGCGCGGAUAGUCUUCGCGGUAGACUUCGGUUUUUUCGCACUUGUUGUGCUAGUCCGGCUGCACCCUUAGGCGACUUCUGCGCGGAUAGUCUUCGCGGUAGACUUCGGUUUUUUCGCACUUGUUGUGCUAGUCUGGUGCACCCUUAGGCGACUUCUGUGCGGAUAGUCUUCGUGAUAGACUUCGGUUUUUUCGCACUUGUUGUGCUAGUCCGGCUGCACCCUUAGGCGACUUCUGCGCGGAUUUGUCGCACGUGAGGGUGGCUAGCGCUUAGCCUCGCGGUGACCUCGUAUUGGUCGAAUGUCGAAGACCGUCGUCGCGGUCUUUUUUCGACGCAUGUUUUUGCGGGGGAUUGUUUUUGCGAAUUACAAGGGCGAAAUCAGCCCUGAGAAGUCAAACAAAAAAUUUGCGGAGGUUGUCGAUGUUCCAGGAGUGCUCCAGGUCCUCGCCGUUUGGCGUUGUGAGCCUGUAGGCGCUGGGGGAAGCUUUUGUCUUGACUAUAAAGGGGCCCUCCCACUUGGGCUCCAGCUUGCCCUUGGACUCCGUCCGAGCCGUUCGGACGAGUACGAGGUCCCCUUCGUUGAACUCCCUCGGGAUGACUGUGUGGUCGCGCCAUGCUUUGGUAUGGGCUUGGUAUUUGUUGAGGGCUUGUAGGGCGAAGACUCGGUCUCCAUCAAUGAGAUCCUUUGAAGUUGGCUCGUCCACGUCGGGGACAGCUGACGGAACUGUUCGCGAAGACCCAUGCUUUAUUUCUUGCGGGGUCAUGGCCUCCGAUCCGUAUAGAAGGCGGAAAGGAGUAAACCCAGUCGCCCUGCACUCAGUCGUGUUUAGUGCCCAGACUGCCUCAGGUAGCAGAUCGGUCCAUCUGCCCUUUUUUCAUCAAGGAGCAUCUUCUUGACAGCUGUGAAGAUUUUCCCAUUGGCGCGUUCCACGACCCCGUUGGACUGCGGAUGAUAGACUGAGGCGAAGGCUAGCUUGGUGCCAAUGGAGAAACAAAAAUCCUUGAAGUCUUGGCUGUCAAACUGUUUGCCGUUGUCAACUGUUAGCUCGGACGGUACUCCGAAGCGGCAAACAAUGUUUUGCCAGAAGAAUUUUUGGGCAGUUUUUGAUGUUAUUGUGGAAACAGCCCUCGCCUCGAUCCAUUUGGUGAAGUACUCGACAGCGACGAAGGCGAACUUAAGGUUCCCCUGAGCGGUGGGCAGGGGGCCGACAAUGUCCAGGCCCCAGCGCUGGAGGGGCCAUGUAUGGGCGAUCAACUUUGUAUACUGCGAGGGGCUGCAUGACCGAGGAGAAAACUUCUGGCAGGCUUCGCAGGACCGUGUGACCCGAUUUGCGGCGCAGAUCAUUGCGGGCCAGUAAAAGCCCUGGCGGAUCACCUUAGCAGCUAGGGCCCUUGGCCCUGCGUGUGAGCCGCACGUGCCACUGUGGACUUCUCGUAGGAUCUGCAUGCCUUCGGCUUCGGUGACGCACUUGAGCAUUGGCUGACUAACCCCUUUUUUGUAGAGUUGGCCUUCAAUCAGUGCAAAGUCUCGGCUUCGAUGUCUGAGGCGCUUGGCCUCACUGAUGUCGGCUGGAUGAUAAUACCCCUGUAGGAACAGGGUUAUUGGUGCCCGCCAGUCUUCGGUCAUGAUAAGGUUGACUAUGCGGUGGCCCUCGCUGUCGUUGGUUAUUUGGAGCCCUUCAGGGCUCCGAACGGCUGGCGUGCCGAUGACAUGAAAGAACACGUCGGAGGGCAGAGUUUCGCCCCUGGCGGCAGCCUUGGCCAAUGCGUCGGCCUCUUCAUUCUUGGCCCGAUCCACAUGCUGCAAGGUGAACCCCUUGAAUUGCCUCUCGAGACUUCGGAUGGCCGAGAGGUAUUGCAUGAGUGCGGGGUCCUUUGCUGCGUAGUCUUUCUCGACCUGGCCGGCAACUAUCUUGGAGUCUGUUUUGAUGAUACAGGUGGUGACUCCGAGGGCCCUCAGCUUGCGGAGGCUGAGGAUGACUGCUUCAUAUUCUGCUAUAUUGUUUGUGCAUCUAUCGUAUUCCAGAGCGAAGCUGAGGCGCGCUGCAUAUCUGUGUUUGACUCUAGCUGGUGAGGUAAUGACUGCAGCGGCGCCUGCCCCCGCAUGGCACCAUGCGUCGUCGCAAUGGAUCGUCCAAACCUUCUCUGUGGACGGGUCUGGUUGUGUUAUUGGCCCAGUCCAGUCGACGACGAAGUCUGCCAGGACUUGUGACUUGAUGGCUGUCCUGGGCUCGAAGCUGAUGUGGUAGCCGGAGAGUUCGACUGCCCACUUGGCAAUCCUCACCGAUGCCUCCGGGUUUCUGAAUAAUUCGCCGAGUCCCCUGUCAGAGGUGACUCGGACCUUGAAUGCUCCAAAGUAGUGGCGCAGUUUGCGCGAAGACAUAACGACUGCGUAGGCAAUCUUCUCCAGCUCUGUCAUGUUGCACUUGGACGGUGUCAGUACCUCGGAGACAUAGUACACGGGGCACUGCCGGACCACGCCCUCGACAGUCUGCUCCUGCACUAGUGCCGCGCUGACCGCAUGUGGCGAAGCCGCGACGUAGAGCAGCAGGGGGACCGAGGGGUCGGGGCUGGUAAGGACGGCCAACUCUGUCAGGUACUGUUUUAAUGAGGCAAAGGCCGCCGCCUGCUCUGGUCCCCAGGCGAAGUCUUUUGCACCACGAAGUGUCUUGAGGAAGGGGAGACUUCGCUCGGCGGACCUGGAGAUGAAUCUGUUGAGAGCGGCCAAUCUGCCUGUCAGGCGCUGGACGUCCCUGACAGACUGCGGAGGCGUCAUGUCUAUGAUGGCCUGAAUCUUGGUUGGGUUGGCCUCGAUGCCGCGGUGUGAUACCAGGUAGCCCAAUAUUUUGCCUUAGCGAACGCCGAAGACGCACUUUUCCGGGUUUAGGCAGAGUUGUGCGUCUCGCAUGUUCGCGAAUGUUUCGGCGUGGUCGGCGAAGUGGUCCUCCUUGCUCUUGCUGGCGACAACAAUGUCGUCCACAUAUGUGAAUAUGUUUCUGCCAACUUGCCCUUCGAGCACUGUUUUGGUAAGCCUGGAGAAGGUGGACCCGGCGUUCUUGAGUCCCUCCAGCAUUCUGAUGAAGCAAUAUGUGCCGAAGGGUGUUAUAAAGCUGGUGCUAGCCUUGUCUUCUUCCUUCAUGUAUAUCUGGUGGUAACCGGAGAAGCAGUCGAGGAGGGACAUGACUUCGCAUCCGGCCGCGCUAUCGACUAUUUUGUCGAUCCGCGGCAACGGGAAAUUGUCCUUUGGGCAAGCUUUAUUGAGACUGGUGAAGUCGAUGCACAUUCGCCACUUCCCGCUCUUUUUCUGCACCAUCACGACAUUGGAGAGCCAUGUGGGGUAAGCCACCGGCUCGAUGAAUUUGGCUUCCAGGAGGCGGUGCACUUCUGCCUUGGCGGCCUCCGUCUUCUCGUCGGACAUCUUGCGAAGCCGCUGCUUUUUCGGCCUUACCGAAGGGUCGAUUCCCAGACUGUGCUCAAUUAUUGAACGGCUAACCCCGACCAGAUCGAGGGCCGACCAGGCGAAGACAUCUUUGUUCUUGGACAGGCAGCAGAGGAGCUUCUCUUCUUCAUGUGAAGUAAGGUCUUCGCUGAUAAUGACUGUCUGCCUGGGCGUGGCCUGGUCGAGGGGGACAGUCUUGGUCCCGUCGUUGCUCUGCAGCUGUGCCUUGUCGUGCUGCUUAUUGGUUGGGCUGGCGGGCGCGGGGACCUCACAUUGGGCCGUGAGGCAGUGCACGUUUCUUUGACCGGGCAUGAAGUCCCGCUCUAUGUUGCGCGCAGUCUGUUGAUUGCCGAAGACUGUGAUGACGCCUAGCGGACCUGGUAUCUUCAUACAUAGGUACAGUCCGUGAAUGGCUGCUUCGAACUUAUUGAUGGAGCCUCGGCCCAUGAUGGCAUUGUAAGGAUAUACCAUGUCCACAAUGUCAAAGGUUAUUUGCUCACUUCGGGCAUUGGGUGCUACACCGAAGGAGAGAGGCAGCUCUAUUUUGCCGACGGGGAAGGUGCCCUUGCCGCCAAAGCCAUACAACGGGUUGUCCGAAGGCUUAAGCAGGCUGUGGCUUAUGCCCAUGCGAUCGAAGGCGUGGAGGAAGAUGAUGUCCGCCUGACUGCCGUUGUCAACUAGGACUUUGUGCAGGUCCUAGCCUGCCACGCUGCAAUUGAUAACCAUGGCGUCGCAGUGGGGGGCGCUGUGCAGGUCGACGUCUCGUGCGUCGAAGGUUAGCGGUAUGUGGGACCACCUUGUCUGCACGACUGGGCCAGUGACGGCGACAUGGUUGAUGUUGCGGUAGUGGUCCCGCUUCUGCCGCUUGGUGUCGAAGUCGGUGCUGGACCCCCCAGUUAUCAUGUGGACGACUCCGCGAUAUGGUUGAUCGACGAAGUCUUCCUGCUUUGGAGCAUGGGGGAUGUUUUGAUGUUGCUGGUGUGGUGGUGGGGGUGGAGGAGGUACGAUUUGUACUUCCUGAUGGUGUUGGUAAGCGUGGUGCGGUGGAUGCGGGCGGGAGCGUGGAUAUAUGGUGGAGGGGGUUGCUGGUAAUUGUGCACGACAAUUCUGGGGUUGUCGGCUGGCUGCGCCCGUGCCAUUCUGUCUCUGGUGGCCUUCGUUUCGGGGCAGUCUUUGGUCUGGUGGGCGCAAUCUUCGCCAUGGAAGAGGCAGUAGAAUCGGCGCGGCGGCUACGCACGCCCUCGGCCCCUACCACGAGUUCCAUUUUCGCGGCCCUGGGGGGGGAUAUUCCUGGCGACGAGGGGGGUCAGCAGCGGGAUGCUGGUUGGCGAUGUUGUGCACUUGCUGCUGAUUGCGGCCGUCUCGACCGGAGUCUGGCUGCGGAGUCCUCGUCCACGUGCGGCUGGACUGUGGGGCAUCUUUGGGUUUCCGCUGUGACUCAACCUUGCGCUGGUGGAGCUCCUCGGAUUUGGCAUAUUUUUCAAAGAGUUGAUAUAGCUCCUGGAGGUUCUUGGGCGGAUCUCUGAUACAGUGGCUGUAGAGGACGCCGGCACGAAGGCCACUGAUGGCGUAGUGGAUAGCUAUCUGAUCAUCAACGGAGGGCAGCUGUGACUUGAGUGUUAAAAAUUUGCGGUAAUACUCCCGCAGAGUCUCCUUUUCCAGCUGCUUGCAAAGCGAGAGCUCGGCCAAGGCGUCGGUGUCUGGGCGGUACCCUUGGAAGUUGAGCAGGAACUUGUCCCUGAGACUUCUCCAGGAAUCAAUGGACAGCGGAGGCAAUCUGGUGAACCAGGUGAGAGCUGGGCCCUCUAGGGCGAUGAUGAAAGACUUCGCCAUUGUGGCGUCGUCCCCUCCGGCGGAUGCAACGGCGACCUGAUAACUCAUUAUGUAUUGCGCCGGGUCGGUGCUGCCAUUGUACUUGGGAUAGGUCCCUGCUCGGAAGUUAGCUGGCCAAGGCGUCACUUGCAGGUGUGGCGCCAGGGGACUUCGUUCGUCGAGAUAGUUGACCCCUUGGAAAGGCGCGGCGUGCGGGAAGGUGUGGUCGCGCUGGGGGAAACGCGGGUCCUCCGGUUGCGCGCGGUGUUGCAGGGGUGGCCCAUGCUGCAGGCCGAGGUGGCCUUCGCGCGUGUCUUCGAGUUGUGCGCGCUGCUGGAGGGGUGGCUCGUGCUGCAGGCCGAGGUGGCCUUCGCGCUGCAUCAGCGCAAUCUCCCGCUCGAGUUCCUGGGCCUUCUGCUCUUCGUCGCGUAUCAUUUGCCGCACUUUGGCUAGUGCGGACACACGCUGGCGCUUGGCCUCCAGUAUCUCCUUCUGCCUCUGGAGGUUGCGGUUCUUGAGGCGCAGGGCGCGCAGCUGUAACUGUUCUUCUGCUGAGACGCCGAGGACUUCACCGUCCUCGGUGAGGUCCGCGCCCCCCGGUGGUGCGAAGCCUGAGGGUGGCUGCGGUUGUCCCUCAGGGCCGCAGGUGCGGAGAGCGUCGUCUUCGCAGGUGCGAGGAACAUCGUCUUCAGUGGCCUCUUGGUGGGUGGAUUGGGUGAGGGCGAGGGCCUUGCCCUUUCUUGCGGCGAGCAGUGCUGCCUUCGCAGCCUCGUCAGCCUUCGGGUUAGCUCUCUUGGGUGCCAUCGCGGGUGGUUUUCUCGUAGCACGAACGGUGGGCGCCAAAUGUUGGAACUUGCUCUCAGCUGCAAGGGGAUCCAACAAGGGUGAACAGUGACGUUAACAGGGUGCUCGCGCUAGAUGGCGAUAGCUCCGUUAAUCUGGCCUCUCACGGGCACUGUGCAGGGGUAUGUAUAGGUACCUGAGCGCGCAGCGCCUUGAGCUAAGGAUGCAUGUGCCCUCAGCUACCUAGGUUAUCCCCAGAAUAUUCCCAUAAAGCGGGGUUACAGACCGUAAUUACAGGGAUGCCUUUACAAAUUAGGCCCGUAACGCACGACGGCCACGCGGGGCCCGCUACGAUGGGCCGGAUCGCACGUGGGCCUCUGAGCUGGACGUGGCCGCACUGUGGGAUGCCCUUCGUCGCCGGUCUUCGUCUGGUGCGGAACAAGCGAAGGGUGUCCCUGCCUGUUUUGUUUCUGUUAGCUCAGCUGCUGCAGCGAAGGCUUCGAGCGAAGGGUGGCGCCUUUGCCUUCGCCCCAACAAGCUCUACCUAGAUUGAUACCCUAAACCCUAAACACAAUAUGUUUUUUUUACGACGAAGGUAGUAAUUUUAAUGUUUGACCUGAUGUAGUCUAGAAAAAAAAUGCUUUUUUUAUCAGAGUAAUAAGUAGCUGAGAGGGAUACUAGUAGCUAGAUGCAUCAAAUUAAACCUGAGCGCGUUGGGGCCGGACGGCAUAGAUUUUACAUUGAAGCUCAAAAGUAGCAUCAUACAUUACAUUCGACGAAAUCGGAACCCUAUACAGCAAAGGUUCGAUAGCGGCGAGCACGCACGCAACGCAACGCAGCGCAGCACCAGGGAUGAUGGAUAGGAUCUUAACCGCUUCACUUCUCGAAGUAGUCCUCGGUCCUGCCCUUGAAUCCGAUCUGGCCGAAGGUGAGCACGAUGAACAGGCCCAGGUGCCACGUCACUAGCCACAGCCUGCAACGUACCAUGCCACCACACCAGUUCGUGUUCGUCAGUGAGCUUUACGUACUUGUCAUGCCGAACUAGCUCGCGAAGGCCGGCAGGACGCGUGCCGGAUAUGCAUGCAUGCCCGGAUCGAGAGGUACGUACACGGUACACUAUACUCACCAGAACUGGGAGGUGACGGGCGGGGGCGUGGGGAAGUGGGCCAGCUCCUGGCCGAUGCUGGAGAAGAAGAGCCCCGUGAGGCUGUUGCCGUUGAUGGCCGGGACGCUGGACGGCCCCAUCCAGCCGAUGAGCCCGAAGCCGAUGACGCUCAGGUCCCUCCGCAGCCAGUCCCGGGGAAACCUGGCGAUCGAGCGCGUACGGAGGAUCAGCAGCGACUAGUAUAAUAUAUAUACAAGUAUAUUUCACAGAAAGCUCGUAAUAAAAAGCUCAGUCAACUCACGUCAUGCAGGUGAUCCUGCCAUUCCUCUCCAGGUUCCUGCUCAUCAGGGGG